rnacentral:rRNA from 1 species
GAUGAACGCUGGCGGCGUGCCUAAUACAUGCAAGUCGAGCGAAUGGAUUAAGAGCUUGCUCUUAUGAAGUUAGCGGCGGACGGGUGAGUAACACGUGGGUAACCUGCCCAUAAGACUGGGAUAACUCAGGGAAACCGGGGCUAAUACCGGAUAACAUUUUGAACUGCGUGGUUCGAAAUUGAAUGGCGGCUUCGGCUGUUACUUAUGGAUGGACCCGCGUCGCAUUAGCUAGUUGGUGAGGUAACGGCUCACCAAGGCAACGAUGCGUAGCCGACCUGAGAGGGUGAUCGGCCACACUGGGACUGAGACACGGCCCAGACUCCUACGGGAGGCAGCAGUAGGGAAUCUUCCGCAAUGGACGAAAGUCUGACGGAGCAACGCCGCGUGAGUGAUGAAGGCUUUCGGGUCGUAAAACUCUGUUGUUAGGGAAGAACAAGUGCUAGUUGAAUAAGCUGGCACCUUGACGGUACCUAACCAGAAAGCCACGGCUAACUACGUGCCAGCAGCCGCCGUAACAC